rnacentral:rRNA from 1 species
UACGGAGGGGGCUAGCGUUGUUCGGAAUUACUGGGCGUAAAGCGCACGUAGGCGGGUCGCUAAGUCGGGGGUGAAAUCCUGGGGCUCAACCUCAGAACUGCCUUCGAUACUGGCGACCUUGAGUACGGGAGAGGUGAGUGGAAUUCCCAGUGUAGAGGUGAAAUUCGUAGAUAUUGGGAAGAACACCAGUGGCGAAGGCGGCUCACUGGCCCGGUACUGACGCUCAUGUGCGAAAGCGUGGGGAGCAAACAGG